AAGACUAUAGACCUGCGGAGUACCUGCGGAAGGAUCAUUAUUGAAUUAUGCUUCUAAAUGGGUUGUAGCUGGCUCGUCAGAGCAUGUGCACGCCUGUUUGGACUUCAUUUUCAUCCACCUGUGCACCUAUUGUAGUCUUUGGUUGGGUAUCAAGGAAGUGGUCAGCCUAUCAGCACUUGCUGGAUGUGAGGACUUGCAGUGUGAAAGCUUUGCUGUCCUUUACUUGAUCAUGGAGUUGUU
rnacentral:misc_RNA from 1 species